CUCCUCUCUGCGUCCGUCACUCGUACGUCUUCAGGAGUCCACCCUCCCGCUCACCCAUCAACAUGCAAACAGACAGCCGCACAAUCUGUGGAUGCCUCUUCCUUUGAUAUGAUUAUAUUCUUAUGAUGGGACCAUCCAGGUUUUAUUUCAGGAGGAAGAUUCUCAUCUCAUCUGGUGACGGUAUAAAGGACCAGAUAGAAGAGGACGCUCCACAAACAGGAAAUGAUGACGGCAGUGGGAGACUCUCUCUCUCCCUCUGGGAGAUUCCAAGGUGUUGAGAAGCCAGAAGGGACGGACCUUCUCCCAAAACCUCCAAAAGGAUCCAGAUCCGACCUUCAUCUGCUUCUGCUGAGGUAGAGAUGCAGUGACUCUACUCCAACCACCAGAAAGCAUUGAAAACUACUGACCAAGAUGACUUUGAGAGAUUACAAGAAAGCCCAGGAUGAAAAUGCAAAGAAACGAAGGGAUUACUCGAGUUUCUCCAGGUCUCGCUCCGACAUUAAAAGCAUAAAGCGAAAUGUUGGCCUAAAGUCAUGAGAACUCCACGUUCUGCUUCAGGGCUGCAAUUACUCCGGCAAACCAUCCCACAGCAUGAUGUUGCCACCACCAGUUGGUCCGGUACCUCAAUCCAAAUUCCUGCAGUCGCCCUCCGUCUGCUCCCGUUAAGGUCCUGCCAGAUUGGGAAGCAUGGGGCAAAUUCAACACGGCGACCAGAGUUUUUCCUUUGCGUCCGUUUAUCCAACCAGGCAAACAUCCAGCGGGACGGCGAAGAGAUGCAGAAUGUGAGAAAGUCAGGCUUAUUACAGGCGGCAGUGGAGAUUUAGCCCUUCCUUCAUGCUAACGGCUCGUCCCCCGGGAGCGACUGGUAGUUACUGGACUAAACUCUAAUCCUGUCUUCAUCUGCUCCAAGCUCUAGGAUGAGGUUCCUUGGCGGCCUGACAGAACCUAAGCAGAAGCCAAUGAACUGUGACCUUCCAGAAGGCUCCAUGACGACCAGAAUCUGUUCCACUUUCUACUGACCGGAAUCUGAACUCCAGGGACUCUUCUGAGUGCGUCUGAGAAAAGCCCUGCGGACAUCGACUCUGGAAAGUCUGGAAGGUCUGGAUCGGAUCAGGAUUUCAUCCUGCAGGCUAACAGGCCCCGGGACGGCUUGCUGCUGCUUUGCGUCACGGACUCAUCACACCUUCCGCCGGCGCCGCAGAGUGUGAAGGAACAGACUGCUGUCCACAGCGAGGAAGCAUGGCGUCAAGGUGAUAUGUCUAACGCUUCAUCACCGCUGUUGUGACAUCUCUUUGAUGUUUGAGGCGUAUAAAUAUCCGCCGGCUCCGUUGCGAGGAGAAGCGGGAGGACGACGCAGAGGAGAAAGUGGGAGGAGCCGAGCCGGCGGGAAGCUCUGGACAGCGGCCAGGAAUCCCGGCCAAGGAGUGUCGCUUGCUGUGGUCUACUGGAGAGAACAUCACACCGUCUCCAUGCCAACUGCCUGGACAGCAGUGACCAGAAGUGUUGCUUUCAGACUCACAGCUGUAUUUGGUUCUACUAGUUCUGACUCUGGCGAGCUCCAUACCAACCCACACCUUCCCUUUGUUUUUUUUGUUUUUUUCAUUUUUUCUACUGUAAUGAACAUUAGCCACAAAAAAGUCAAAGGUUUAGCAGAAGAAGAUAACUUCUAAAGCCAAAACAUGCACCAUUAUACAGAAGGUAAAGCGUCUUACUUCCUCACCUUUUCCUCUCAGCAAUAAAAAGUGAAUAAAAAUCAGUGGCGAGUUUUCAUUUUUGUCAGAU